rnacentral:rRNA from 1 species
CCUACGGGUGACUGCAGUGAGGAAUAUUGGUCAAUGGUCGGGAGACUGAACCAGCCAUGCCGCGUGCAGGAGGACGGCUCAAUGAGUCGUAAACUGCUUUUGUACGAGGACAAACACUGAUACGUGUAUCCGGCUGAGAGUACUUUACGAAAAAGGAUCGGCUAACUCCGUGCCAGCAGCCGCGGUAAUACGGAGGAUCCGAGCGUUAUCCGGAUUUAUUGGGUUUAAAGGGUGCGCAGGCGGGUUGUUAAGUUAGAGGUGAAAUGUCCGGGCUUAACUCGGGAACUGCCUUUAAUACUGGCAAUCUAGAGAGUGAGUGCGGUAGGCGGAAUGUAUGGUGUAGCGGUGAAAUGCUUAGAGAUCGUACAGAACACCGAUUGCGAAGGCAGCUUACCAAUCU